UUGUUUGCGGGUGUAGCACCAUCAAGAUUCACAUGCAAAUGCACGGUGGUGAUUCUCUCUCCCUCUCCCUCUCCCUCUCUCUCUCUCUCCAUCAACCAAAGUUCUUUGAAAGUGAGAAUCUUGAUGAUGCUGCAUCGGCAAUAAA
rnacentral:pre_miRNA from 1 species